UGGGGAAUUGUUCGCAAUGGGCGCAAGCCUGACGACGCAACGCCGCGUGGAGGACGAAGAUCUUCGGGUCGUAAACUCCUGUCGAGCGGGAAGAAACCCGCGGAGAUGAAUAAUCUCUGCGGUUGACGGUACCGCUAAAGGAAGCCCCGGCUAACUCCGUGCCAGCAGCCGCGGUAAUCCGGGGGGGGCAAGCGUUGUUCGGAAUUACUGGGCGUAAAGGGCUCGUAGGCGGCCAACUAAGUCGGAUGUGAAAUCCCCAGGCUCAACCUGGGAACUGCAUCCGAUACUGGAUGGCUUGAAUCCGGGAGAGGGAUGCAGAAUUCCAGGUGUAGCGGUGAAAUGCGUAGAUAUCUGGAGGAAUACCGGUGGCGAAGGCGGCAUCCUGGACCGGCAUUGACGCUGAGGAGCGAAAGCUAGGGGAGCAAA
rnacentral:rRNA from 1 species